UGGGGAAUCUUCCGCAAUGGGCGCAAGCCUGACGGAGCAACGCCGCGUGAGUGAAGAAGGGUUUCGACUCGUAAAGCUCUGUUGUCGGGGACGAAUGUGGAGAUGGUGAAUAACUAUUUUCAAUGACGGUACCUGACGAGGAAGCCACGGCUAACUACGUGCCAGCAGCCGCGGUAAUACGUAGGUGGCGAGCGUUGUCCGGAAUUAUUGGGCGUAAAGGGAGCGCAGGCGGGAAGGUAAGUCUAUCUUAAAAGUGCGGGGCUCAACCCCGUGAGGGGAUGGAAACUAUCUUUCUUGAGUGCAGGAGAGGAAAGCGGAAUUCCUAGUGUAGCGGUGAAAUGCGUAAG
rnacentral:rRNA from 1 species